GAUGAAGAACGCAGCGAAAUGCGAUACGUAAUGUGAAUUGCAGAGUUCAGUGAAUCAUCGAAUCUUUGAACGCACAUUGCGCCCGCCAGUAUUCUGGCGGGCAUGCCUGUCUGAGCGUCAUUUCAACCCUCAUGCCCCUAGGGCGUGGUGUUGGGGAUCGGCCAAAGCCCGCGAGGGACGGCCGGCCCCUAAAUCUAGUGGCGGACCCGUCGUGGCCUCCUCUGCGAAGUAGUGAUAUUCCGCAUCGGAGAGCGAUGAGCCCCUGCCGUUAAACCCCCAACUUUCCAAGGUUGACCUCAGAUCAGGUAGGAAUACCCGCUGAACUUAAGCAUAUCAAUAAGCGGAGGA
rnacentral:misc_RNA from 1 species